rnacentral:rRNA from 1 species
CCUACGGGGGGCAGCAGUGGGGAAUAUUGGGCAAUGGGCGCAAGCCUGACCCAGCAACGCCGCGUGAAGGAAGAAGGCUUUCGGGUUGUAAACUUCUUUUCUGAGGGACGAAGAAAGUGACGGUACCGCAGGAAUAAGCCACGGCUAACUCCGUGCCAGCAGCCGCGGUAAUACGUAGGUUGCAAGCGUUCUCCGGAUUGAUUGGGUGUAAAGGGCGGGUAGGCGGGAAAGCAAGUCAGAUGUGAAAACUCCGGGCUCAACCCUGAGCCUGCAUUUGAAACGGUUUUUCUUGAGUGCUGGAGAGGCGAUCGGAAUUCCGUGUGUAGCGGUGAAAUGCGUAGAUAUACGGCGGAACACCAGUGGCGAAGGCGGAUUGCUGGACAGUAACUGACGCUGAGGCGCGAAAGCGUGGGGAGCAAACAGGAUUAGAUACCCCAGUAGUC